rnacentral:rRNA from 1 species
CCUACGGGAGGCAGCAGUGGGGAAUAUUGGACAAUGGGCGGAAGCCUGAUCCAGCAACGCCGCGUGAGGGAUGACGGCCUUCGGGUUGUAAACCUCUUUCAGUACCGACGAAGCGCGAGUGACGGUAGGUACAGAAGAAGCACCGGCCAACUACGUGCCAGCAGCCGCGGUAAU